GGCAGGAUGGCCUAGUGGUCUAAGGCGCUGCGUUCAGGUCGCAGUCUCCUCUGGAGGCGCGGGUUCGAAUCCCGCUCCUGUCA
rnacentral:tRNA from 1 species